UGAUCAUGGUGAGGACACAAACAAAGAAGCUCUUUGAAUCACUCAAAUGCCUCGUGAAACUCUUCCCCAUGUUGUUGUUGAAAAUUGGAGAUCGCUCGGCAUAU